CAUCCUGAUAGCUUCUCUAGGGUCACUGAAAAUCUUUGCUGACAUUCUAGAACAUAUGAUACAGGGCAGAAGCCAGAAGCCACUGAUCAUUUUGACCAGCGACCAAAAACUUUUGGCUUUUAUCCUUCAGCAUCUGACAUAUACCAACACAGGCUGAUUUGUAGCUAGGAACCUGGUCAUAUCUCAAGUCACAGUCAAAUAUGUAUGGGGGUAACUAAUAACUCUCUUCAUUAGAGAGAACAACACUGAGGUGCUGGGGGGUGUCCUGGAGAACACAGAACUGAGAAGGGUGAAGGACUCUCAUCAC
rnacentral:lncRNA from 1 species